rnacentral:rRNA from 1 species
AGCAGCCGCGGUAAUUCCAGCUCCAAUAGCGUAUAUUAAAGUUGUUGCAGUUAAAAAGCUCGUAGUUGAAUUUCGGGAUCAAUAUGUUGGUCGUGCCUCGGUACGUACUAGCUUAUUGGUUUCUCCUUUCUGAAGAACCAUGAUGUCAUUUAUUUGGUGUCGUGGGGAAUCAGGACUGUUACUUUGAAAAAAUUAGAGUGUUUAAAGCAGGCUCACGCUUGAAUACAUUAGCAUGGAAUAAUGAAAUAGGACGUUUGAUUCUAUUUUGUUGGUUUUUAGGAUCGACGUAAUGAUUAAUAGGGAUAGUUGGGGGCAUUAGUAUUCAAUUGUCAGAGGUGAAAUUCUUGGAUUUAUUGAAGACUAACUACUGCGAAAGCAUUUGCCAAGGAUGUUUUCAUUAAUCAAGAACGAAAGUUAGGGGAUCGAAGACGAUCAGAUACCGUCGUAGUCUUAACCAUAAACUAUGCCGACUAGGGAUCGGAUGAUGUUAAUUUUUAAUGUACU